rnacentral:rRNA from 1 species
AUUGAACGCUGGCGGCAGGCCUAACACAUGCAAGUCGAGCGGAUGAAGGGAGCUUGUUUCUGGAUUCCGCGGCGGACGCGUGAGUAUUGCCUAGGAAUCUGCUUGGUAGUGGGGGAUAACGUCCGGAAACGGGCGCUAAUACCGCAUACGUCCUGCGGGAGCAAGUGGGGGGUCUUCGGACCUCACGCUCUCAGAUGAGCCUAGGCCGUAUUAGCUAGUUGGUGGGGUAAAGGGCUACCAAGGCGACCAUCCGUUACUGGUCUGUGAGGAUGGUCAGUCACACUGGAGCUGGACCACGGUCAAUAGGCCUGCGAUACGGAGCAGUGGGGAAUAUGAGACAAUGGGCGAGAGCAUGGUCCAGCCGGGCGGCGUGUGUGAAGAAGGUCUUCCGAGUGUAAAGACCGUUAAGUGGUGGUAAACCGCAGUAACUUGAGACCUAGCGUUAGUGACGUUACCAGCUAAAGAAGCACCGGCUAACUACGUG